UUCAGCUCCUCUGAAAAUCAAUCCACUCGUUUAGAUGCCUGAAUAUGAAUGUUAGUGCCAGACUUUGGACAGUGACAUAGGAAGACAUUGGCCUGAGCCUAUGCAUGGACUCUCAUCCUACAAUCCAACCCCUCAACAGAUACAUCCCAGCUUCUGACUGUGAGCCAUUCAGCUACAAUGGGGAGGCCUAGAUGCUAGCCCCACAUGAGAGAGGGAAGGAUUUCAGGCCCAAGGCCCAAGUGGGGCAGGAAGAAGCACACGCUCACCUCAGUUGCCAUCUUUGCUGAGAGCCCCACAUGAGAGAGGGAAGGAUUUCAGGCCCAAGGCCCAAGUGGGGCAGGAAGAAGCACACGCUC